UAGGAAAGUCAUAAAUAUAUAAAUUAUAUUAUAUAAUUAAUAUAAUAAUAAAAUAAAUUAUAUAUUUUAUUUAUAAUAUUAUUUCUUUAUAAGAUAAAUAUUAUCUAAUUAAUAAUUAGAUUGAAUAAUAUUUAUAAAGAAAGAAAUAUAUAUAUAUAUAAAAAGUCAUUAUAUAAAUUUAAUUAUAAUUUAAAUAAAUUUUAUAUAAAUUAAUAUAAUAUUAAUAAAGUAAUUAGUAUAAAUAAAUAAUAUGAAAAUAAAACUUAAUAAAUAUAUAAAUAUAGUCCAUAUAUAUAUAUUAAUAAAAAAAAAGUAAUAUAUAUAUAUAUAUUGGAAUAGUUAUAUUAUUAUACAGAAAUAUGCUUAA
rnacentral:misc_RNA from 1 species